CACUGGAGUCCCUCAGCCUUAGCAACAUGAAAAAAAUGUCAGAAAUCUUGCAAGAGCUAAGCAGAACGGGGAAGUGGAAAUGGAUGUUGCACUACAGAGACAGUCGUUGGAUCAAAGAAAAUGCGAGGUUGAGCGCAGAGGCAAAAGAGAAGAAGCACUUCCUAAACGGUGCAACGAAGUUGGACUAUUGGAGGUCUUACCUUACCAUGAGUGUGACCUCAUGUCAAAAGAUCAGCCUGACUAUCUCACAUGUUUGGUCCGUCUGCAGGUUCAGAAUAUAUCAGCCCGCUACCCUGUGUUUAUAACUGAUACAACAGACAGUGCAUUUGGAACGAAUGGAAUUUUAACAAU